rnacentral:lncRNA from 1 species
CUUUUCGGCCGCGGCGCGUGACUGGGUAAGUGGGCUCGGACCUUCUGGACGCAGGAGCCGACCACGUGGCUCCGGGGCUACCCCGUGCGCUUCCUAGGCGCGCCUCUCGCUGCCCCCACGCCGAGGCCUCGGCUCGGCGCCGCGGGGAAGCCUCCGUUAGGGCCCCUCGGGGGUGGGGGCGUCCUCGUGGCGCUUGGGCCCUUCGUCCCGGGUUAGGACGGCCCGUGUCCUUGUGCGCUUGAAGGGGCCGCCCCCUUUCCUCGAGGAUCCCACCCCCACUCAGCAGAAGCCGCCAGGCGCCCGUCACCUCCCGUGCCUGAGUCCCUGCCGUCCACGCAUUCGGCCUACAGGCAGCUUUUAGUCCUUUUUCAAUUAAAUGAUUGCAUUUUGAGGAUCAAAUUCCAACCGCAGGCGGAGGCGCCGAGCCCCGGACGGUCUCUGGGUUCUUGGUGCACUCGGGGCUCCUGCCUGCCCAGGGGCUGUGACCGCGCGGACGGAAGCCUAUUUGGGAAGCGAGUGAGAUCUGAUGUCUGAAGCGCUUUAAGUUUCUAAGCGGGGCAGUAUAAUAGCGGGGUUAGCAAACACACGGAGGUCAUUUCACUCGCGCAGCCAUCCCCCACCGCCACCAGUGCCGUUCAUUUGCUACUGGCCCGCAGUCAGAUAAUUUAAAGGCUUGGAGGGACGAGUCUUGCUGGAGCCGACGCCUACAGUAAGUUGAGCGGAGUGCUGUGAGCCCUAAUAAGGGAGCCUGCUUUCCUCCCGAAGAUUCGCUUUUUUGGGAGUGGCCAGAGCGUUAUUACAGCACAGGGCCCGCUUCCAACGUUUAAUCAGGGUGUGAGGAGGCCCUUCGUGGUUUUCUGACCUGGGAAAAGUCUGAACUACUGGGUUCUUUCUGGCUUGGACCAGGACAAGGUGUUGAACGCCUAACUUAGGUCUACUAAGGUGUAGAAAUACGCAAGGCUGCCCCUAGAGAACGUUUGUCUGGGGAAUAAUGUAAGUUUUUGGAGCGGCUCUCCUGAGCAUCGCUGAGCAUACUAAUUGUUCAUUACUGGUACAAAAUGCUAUAUAAAGGGAUACUUUGCGAAUUUAGUAAAAUUGAUAAAGAUCUAAAUUUACAUUUGAGUCAACAAAUAAUCUUUGUGGCUAGCAUAGGUACCACAGUUCUGUUGGAAUGUGAAGCUCGUGGUUCACCUGUUUUCCUCAGUUGUGAAAGAUUUGCUGCCUUUUUGAUGAAACCAAAUGGGACCCAUUUUACCAUUCUUUAAUGAGGAAAGCUUGUACAUUUGCAGCCUAGGUUCUAGGCAUCUUUUAUCCAGCGUUAUAGAUAGACCCAGAGCAUGGACAAUUUUCCCUCCCUGGAAUACCUCCAGCUCUGGCGAAUAGCCCUAUAUACAGCACAGGAAGAUAGCGGUGGUAAGGCUUUGUUUUACCAUUGCUUUAGGUGUUAGAGAUUCUUAUUGAGCCCAUUUUAUUUUUAUUUUAUUUUAUUUAUUUUUUUGAGUCGGAGACUCGCUCUGUCACCCAGGCUGUGGUGCAACGGCGCAAUCUCGGCUCACUGCAACCUCUGCCUCCCGGGUUCAAGAAAUUCUCCUGCCUCAGCCUCCUGAGUAGCUGGGAUUACAGGUGCCCGCCACCAUGCCCAACUGUUUGUAUUUUUUAGUAGAGACGGGGUGUCACCUUGUUGGCCAGGCUGGUCUUGAACUCCUGAGCUGGUGAUUCGCCAGCCUCAGCCUCCCAAAGUGCUGGGAUUACAGGCGUGAGUCAGCGCACCCGGCCUGCCAAAUUGUUUUUUAACUAUUCAGUUUAAACUGUGAGAGACACCAUGUCAAGGAAGCAGUGUGAGCUAGCGUCUAAGGAUUGUGAAAACUGAGCAAGUGCCCAGAACUAGAAACUUCCCAGCCCCCUGAACUCAGCCUCAGGGUAAGCGAGUUUAAUAGUGCUUCCUUUGAUUUUCAAAUCUGUGGAAGGUUUGUUUCAGUUUUUCCCAGACAAAUAUUGUUGGGAUAGUGUUUCUUUUCAAAAAUGGAUAGGAUUCAAUGCUCAUCAGUGGGAAGAUAGUGACUCCUGACCAUUUUCCUCCUAGCUGGAAACUACAGAAGACUCCCAAGUAUCAGGAAAUUUGGAGAAUUUGUACAGGAAUUAUAUUCAGAGAUAGCAAUUUAUUUACUCAUCAAAGAGAGCUAUUGGAUAGCCACCAUAAAGACCACUCAUUAAAAAACAAAAUUGCAUGAUAUUCUUAACAUUGUCUUUCACUUUUUUUAACCAGGCUUGGUGGAGUUUCAAGAUGCUGAUGAACUUAAGGUAUGGGCCGAGUGGAAAGAAUUUGGUUUAAGUUAUUAAUAGUUGAAUUGAAAUUGUGGCCAAGGAUGAGAACUCUAAUCUGAUUUUAUGUGCUUCUGCUGUGAUGGAUUAAAGGAUUUACCUGAGGCCAAAUUGGUAUGCAGGAAUUUAUUAAAUGGAAUCAUACCCCCCCCCCUUUUAAAAUUACGCUUUUGGUAAAAGGGAAAAAGCUCUUGGUAAAUGGAUAAUACUACUAAGCCAAGAGAAAGACAGGAUUUUGAGUGAAAACAUAAAUUUAGAUGUCACAACAUUACUAAAGCAACAGUGUGUAAGAUACUGGACGAUUUUAUUUACUUACUUGCACAGUUUUUGUAAACAGUCUAGACAGUACUGUAUUUUGCUAUUUAGUAAUACCUACUGUGAUACUUCUUUUACAGGUCUGGCGCUUGAAAGAAUCAGUGAAGCUUUUCAAGUAGAGGAGGUAUAUUUGAAUAUGUAACCUUUAGUAUCUACAGAAUAGAGGUUGCUUUUUUUUUUUUUUUUUUGUCCCUUUCACAGUGGUAGCAAGGUUGAAUUUUGAGAUGGCCCCAAUCAUCUAUAGGAAUAUUAUUUGACAGUUUUGGAGACACAAAACUGCCUUAUAGCUGACUUGAUCCUGUAGAACAUUUCUGUGGAAUUCAAUUCUAUUAUUUAAGGUAGUUUUUCCAUGAACCAGCUGUGGUCUGUAACUUGACAGUGUUAAUAAAACAAGUAGCAAUACCUUCAUCAUGGUUCACAUGGUCAACAAAGAUAUGACUUAACUCUAAGAUUGUUAUUUUACAGUAUAGUCUUUUUUUUUUUUUUUUUUUUAUAAUAGAUAGUUUCACUCUUGUUGCCCAGGCUGGAGUGCAGUGGUGCAAUCUUGGCUCACUGCACCCUCUGCUACCCAGAUUCAAGCGAUUCUCCUGCCUCAGCCUCCUGAGUAGCUGGGAUUACAGGCGCGUGCCACCACACCCAGCUAAUUUUGUAUUUUUACACAUUUUUGUUUGUUUGUUUGAGACGGAGUCUCACUGUCGCCCAGGCUGGAGUGCAGUGGCACGAUCUCAGCUCACUGCAACCUCUGCCUCCCGGGUUCAAGCGAUUCUCCACCUCAGCCUCCCGAGUAGCUGAGAUUACAAGCUAAUUUUUGUAUUUUUGUAGAGACAGGGUUUCACCAUGUUGGCCAGGCUGGUCUCGAACUCCUGAUCUCAAGUGAUCUGCCUGCCUCGGCCUUCCAAAGUGCUGGAAUUAAUAGGGGUGAGCCACCAUGCCCGCCCAGUAUAUUCUUUUUUUUUUUUUUUUUUUUUGAGACGGAGUUUUGCUCUUGUUGCCCAGGCUGGAGUGCAGUGGCAUGAUCUCAGCUCACCACAACCUCCACCUCCUGGGUUCAAUCAAUUCUACCUCAGCCUCCCGAGUAGCUGGAAUUACAGGCAUGUGCCACCACACCCAGCUAAUUUUGUAUUUUUAGUAGGGAUGGCGUUUCUCCAUGUUGGUCAGGCUGGUCUAGAACUCCUGACCUCAGGUGAUCAGCCUGCCUCAGCCUCCCAAAGGGCUGGGAUUACAGGCGUCAGCCACUAUACCCAGCAGUAUAUUCUUAAAUAUUACUGUUGAGCCAUAUAUACGACAAUGGUGGACUUUGAAUGUCCGCACAUCUGUAGUAAAAUGCAAUGCUACCUUCAUUUUUUGUUGGUAUGCUAAAGAAAUUUUAAGUAUCUCACUUUUAAAAAAAUAGGUUUGUGUAUUUUAUGUGCUUACACAUUUUUCCAUAGUACUGUAGAUCAUUUUAGUGAUGAAAUUUGAUACUUUUGACAGAAAAACAGGUCAGUGAGUUCCUUGGGAUCAAAAAGGGGUUGAUUACAAGGGCAGGAAGGAAUUGUUAGUGUGAUUCUACAGUUCUGCAUCUUGAUUAUGGUAUGACUGUGCGUUUGUCAAACCUUAACAGGAUGAAUUUUGCUGAAUGUAAAAUCAUACUUCAAUAAACAUGACUUUAAAAACUUAACCCUCCUUGGCAUUUCAGUGGUGUUUCCAGUGAAAUCUAUGGCAAGAUGGUUUGGGGUCACUAUCUACAUGAACUGCCAAGUUGGAAAAUCAAAAAUACAUCAAAAUCACUCUUGGGACAUAAGUCACGGAAGUGACUCAUGCACACAAUAAAUACCCAAGAAGCAGGACCAGACGGCAGUUGUGUAUUGGCACGCUCAUCAGUGCUGCAAAAAUUCCCCUUCUGGAUGGCAACAACAAUGCUGUAUCCACAGCAGCAUUUUAAAUCUCACCUCUGAUUACUCUACUUUGAAGAAAGGAAUGGAACAGAAGGUGUCUGCAUAACUAAAUGGGGAUCUAGAGAAAGUGGAGACUGCCUCUGGAGCAGGGAGGUGAGUGGACCAGAUCACUGUGGGCCUGGGCCUACUCAGCUGAUUUUCAAGCUAAAACCAGGGGUAACUUUUCCUCUUGAGACGAAAGCCAUGCUCACAUUCUGUGAACAGCCAGAGAUGUGUUCGAAAGGCUUACUUUUAUUUUGUACUAGAAAAGAUUGUCUUUCCAAAAUUUACCUCGUAUUCAUAAACUGGAAAGUUCUGAUGGCAAUAUUUUGUUACAAAAUUGUCAUUAAUCACAAUCCAGGAUUAUGCCACCAUGACUAGAAGGCCCCCUAAUGGAGUUUAUCUGCACUGCAAGGGGCCAGUUGUCUCAGAAUCAUCCUCCGUUGACAUCUCCAUCUCCAGGACAGCUCCACACUAAUCUGUUUCAAAGACAAAAUCCAGUCUAAUCAGUUUGAUGUAUGUUUCUGGGAAUAGAGCCGAAUGUUGUAGCUGAUGGAAUGGAGUCUCAUACCAUUGAUUUUGCAGCUGGACAAGUGCCCUGCCAUGUUACUGCCACUCUUUAAGGCAGAAUAGAGCACAUUGUAUCAUUUAUAGGCCUCUCACAGUGAGAAAUAUGUGGAACUUUGGAAAUCAGAAUCUAAAACUGCAGUCCAAUGGGGUAGCCACUAUUCACAUGUGCUAUUGAGUACCUAAAAUGUGGCUAGACCAAGUUGACAUGUGCUGAAGGGUGAAAAACACCAGGAGUGAAGAAUUAACUUGAAAAAAAUGUAAACUAUCUCAAUUUUAUAUUGAUUACAAAUUAAAUGAUGUUUUGAAUAUAUUGAGUUAAAUGAAAUACAUUUUUUAAUGAUACAUGAUGCGUAUUAUAUUUCUGUUGGACAGUACUGGUCUAAAACAGUUGAUUCACUAUCCAGUAGAGAGAAAGGUAUUGCUGUUUUACCAUAUGUGACCUUCAGGGAAAAGAAGAAUAAAAUUAGCACUUGAAAAUGGAAAAACUUACAGAUAAGCAGCUAUUAUUUGAAGGGCAGAAGGUGCAGGGGUACUCAGCACUACUUAGAAGAUUUGACAUAAAUUCUAUACUCAAGUUGCUAGUACUUCUGGAGAUUUUAAAUGAAAGACUUCAGAGUGUAUUUAGUAAACACUCUGCUAUGCCCACUCUACAAGCAUCUGUGUGUUCAUUAAUCAAGAGCAGGCCAGGUGCAGUGGUUCUCACAGU